CCUACGUGAGGCAGCAGUGAGGAAUAUUGGUCAAUGGACGAGAGUCUGAACCAGCAAAGUAGCGUGAAGGAUGACUGUCCUCUGGGUUGUAAGCUUCUUUUAUAAAGGAAUACAACGAGGCACGUGUUCAUUUUUGCAUGUAGUUUAUGAAUAAGGCUCGGCUAACUUCGUGCCAGCAGCCGCGGCAAUAUGGAGGUUCCGAGAGUUAUCUGGAUUUAUUGUGGUUUAAGGGUGCGUAGGCGGGGAUUUAUGCCGGCGGUAAAAUGUCGGGGCUCAACCCCGGCCUGCCGGCGAAACUGGGUGCCUUGAGGGGGCGAGAAGCAUGCGGAAUGCGUGGGGUAGCGGUGAAAUGCAUAGAUAUCACGCAGAACCCCGAUGGCGAAGGCAGCAUACCGGCGCCCUACUGACGCUGAGGCACGAAAGUGCGGGUAUCGAACAGGAUUAGAUACCCUGGUAGUC
rnacentral:rRNA from 1 species